rnacentral:lncRNA from 1 species
UCAUACUCUCCCAACUUGGUCUUAAGGAAGAGAAAACAAACGAGGAAGAGGGUGAGGGAUAGAGAGAGCAGGAGACACCUGGAAGAGAAGGCUGCUUGGCUGCAGACAUAGAAGAGAAAUCACCCCUGGGAUGGGAAGUUCUUGUUUAUCUAAGAACACUGGAGGAAAGCAAAUUCUUGGAUCUAGAAAGGAAAAAUCACAGAACAAAUGCCAUGGAUGUUUGCAAAACUGGAGUUCACUGUGGGCGGUGAGGUAAGGGACACCGUAUGGAACUUGGAGAAUCUUAAUAAGUAGAAACU